CACAUGUCCAUGUAGUAAACUUAGUCACGGAACACGAUACGACUUGUAGCAGUCACAUAUCGGGCGGAAAUAUUACGUGGGAAAGGCGCUCAGUGCCUACUAGUUUAUGCACGAAAGACAUCUCGGAAUAGUCAUUCGUUUCGGAUAUUUCAUUGUUACAUCUCAGUGUAUCCUUCUGCCACUGACCUUCCGUCGUUGACUGUCCAUCACUGCUGUUGCCUAUAUCCAGUAGCCGUUGCAGAGAGCUGAUACAGUGGACAUGCAAUGAGUGAACAAGUGACUUGCCUUUGCAUGUGUUUGCGACGGAUCCAAAACUCCAAGAAAGCGACCCAUCAUGUGUAUGUCUCUAGAUUCCAGUGAAAUCGUGCUUGUGGUGUGCGUUGUCGUUGCAUUCGUUGUUGACGUCAUCCUCCUUGGGUACUACAUCAUCAACCGGAACAGGAAGCCAGCAACAUGUGCAGCUAUUGUGGAGUAUGCCAGUCAUCAACCACACUGGUCAGAUCGUGACGACACUUCAGAACAGAAUGAAGAAGUGAAAGUCGUUAUCGUUGACAAUAGGCCGGAAGGGAAACCUUAUCAAGACACUCGAGAAUGUGGUGAGGACUAUGACACGUUGUGGAGUGUUAACAGAAACAGAUUACAGUUUGACAACAGGACGGACACGACAAGUGUUUACAGUCACAUGAUCCGGCGUGACAAUGCAUGUGUUUGGUCUGACGAAAACAAUUACGAUAGGGCUGUAUUGUCUACUUGUGACAGGAGAACGAUCAGUGCCUUAUACGAAAGGGUGCAUAUGUCAGGGGAAUAGUUGUUGAGAAGUGUCAGGAGGAACUACUUGCCUGCUAUCCCGUGGUUGGUAACAUUUCCGUUGGGAUAGGUGAAAUGUAUUCCUUUCUGCCUGACUUAAGACAGUGAUCUGUGACUCACUGGCCUCAACAGGAGCCACCUUUGUGACUUAAAAGCUGUGGUGAGGUGAGGUGAGGUUAAAUUGGGUUUAACGUCGCGUCCAAGAUUAUUGCACUUAUAUAGCGACGUGCAUGCACGUGUGUGUGUGUGUGUGGCUGCUUGUACUAGUCCGGACUG